rnacentral:rRNA from 1 species
CCUACGGGAGGCAGCAGUGAGGAAUAUUGGUCAAUGGUCGGGAGACUGAACCAGCCAAGCCGCGUGAGGGAUGAAGGUACUGGGUAUCGUAAGCCUCUUUUGUAAAGGAGCAAAGGCGGGGACGUGUCCCCGGAUGAGUGUACCUGAAGAAAAAGCAUCGGCUAACUCCGUGCCAGCAGCCGCGGUAAUACGGAGGAUGCGAGCGUUAUCCGGAUUUAUUGGGUUUAAAGGGUGCGCAGGCGGUUUGUUAAGUUAGGGGUCAAAUGUCCGGGGUCAACCCCGGCCCCGCCUUUGAGACUGGCAGUCUCGAGUUGGAGAGAAGUAGGCGGAAUGCGUGGUGUAGCGGUGAAAUGCAUAGAUAUCGCGCAGAACACCGAUUGCGAAGGCAGCAUGCCGG